CCCUUUUACUUUGUUUUUCUUAGCAUUUAACAAUUGAUUACAGUUUUCUUUGAUCUUUUUUUUUCCCUUUCACUGAAAUAGGGCUCAGAGACUGUUUACAUGACAGCUCAGAAAGAAUUAGAAAAUCAGAAACAAGUCAAAUCAUUUUGAUGAUUCUAAUAUUAUUUGAUAUGUUCAACAUUAAUUUUGGCCAAAUUUACACAUUUUCUUUUCACUCCCUUUCUCUUUUUCUUCCUUCCCUCCCUUCCUCUUUUUCUUCCUUCCUUCCUUCCUUCCUUCCUUCCUUCCUUCCUUCCUUCCUUCCUUCCUUCCUUCCUUCCUUCCUUCCUUCCUUCCUUCCUUCCUUCCUUCCUUCCUUCCUUCCUUCCUUCCUUCCUUCCUUCCUUCCUUCCUUCCUUCCUUCCUUCCUUCCUUCCUUCCUUCUUCCUUCCUGCCUUCCUGCCUUCCUGCCUUCCUGCCUUCCUGCCUUCUUUCCUUUGUCUCUCUUCUGUUUUUAUAUAAAGGAAUCUAUUUAGAGUUCCAUUUAAACUACAUGACACUCAGUUAGUUAUAUGCCAAAAGAUGAGGUUGAGCUCAUCAGAUUAAGUUUUGAUAGGACAUCCUAGGGUAAUACAAACAAGUCAUUCCCUUCCAAUAAGAGUUACUAUUGUAAAAUUUGGGAAGCCAUUUCAGCAAUGAUAAACAACCCUGAGGAUCUGAGUAUUUAUUCUAGGCUUCUUAUGAUGACAUAUUUUUAUAACACUUGUCUGACUGCCAGGAAAUGGCAGGCUUUCUCACUCAUUAAACAAAAUUAAAUAGGAAAAAAUUCUGCUUUUAAUCUUCUAUAAUUUUGAUAUGGCCAUGAACUAAUAUGCAAUUGAAAAUUCAUAGUCCACAAGUAAUCAAGAGGUCAUGUUGAGCUGAACUCAUUCACAUUUUCAAAAUUUUAUGGAUUGCUAAAAGAAAGAGCUCUGAUAUGGAAGAACCAUUUUAUACUUCUUAAGAAUCUUUGUUUUUGUAAAUCUUUAUGUUCAGAGAAAACUUUUUUUAAGAACAUAGAAGAUCAAUUGGUGAUAUUGAUUAAAAGAAACUGAAAAGCUUUGCAUUAAUGAAAUCAAUGCAGUAAAUCUGAUGAAGCAGUCACCAUCUGGGAAAAAUAUCUUUGAUAAAAUAAUCUCAUAAUAUUCAGUUAUUCAAGAUAUAUUAGUAAUGAACAUGAAUCUAUGAGAGGACAAUUUGCUAAAGCUGAAGUUGUUAAAAUAUAGGAAAUAAAUCUCAAAAAGAAUUGCA
rnacentral:lncRNA from 1 species